rfam:Coprococcus comes CAG:19 genomic scaffold, scf161
CAGCUUGAUAGAGGCGCGGGAUUUAUCAGUACCUUCUGAAAGAUGCGGCAGGGAAGCCGACAGAAGAGAAAGGAAAUACCGCCGAAGGAGCCGGAACCCCAACCCCGGUUUCUGGGACGAUGCAGAAGAUGCAGCGUACUGUCACACAUGUGGAGCGCUAUCGGAAGA